CCUUACCUUAUUAAGCCACGCCCCUUCCUUAUUAAGCCACGCCCCUUCCCAUAAGCCACACCCUCUCCCUUAUUAAGCCACGCCCCUUCCCAUAAGCUUCACCUGUUCCUUAUCAAGCCACGCCCCUUCCAUAAGCCACGCCCCCUCAUUAAGCCACGCCCCUUCCAUUAAGCCACGCCCACUCCUUUAUUAAGCCACGCCCCCUCCCUUACUGAGCCACGCCCCUUCCCUUAAGCCACUCCCCCUCCCAUAAGCCACGCCCCUUCCCAUAAGCCACGCCUCUCCCUUAUUAAGCCACGCCCCUUCCCAUAAGCCACGCCCCUUCCCAUAAGCCACACCCCUUCCUUAUUAAGCCACGCCCCCUUCCCAUAAGCCACGCCCCAUUUCUUAUUAAGCCACGCCCCUUCCCACAAGCCACGCCCCGUUUUAAGCCACGCCCCCUCCCUUAUUAAGCCAAGCCACGCCCCCUUUAAGCCACGCCCCUUCCCAUAAGCCACGCCCCCUUCCCAUAAGCCACACCCCCUUCCUUAUUAAGCCACGCCCCUCCCUUAUUAAGCCACGCCCCUCCUUAUUAAGCCACGCCCCUUCCCUUAUUAAGCCAUGCCCCCUCCCUUAUUAAGCCACGCCCCCUUUCCAUAAGCCACACCCCCUCCCUUAUUAAGCCACACCCCUUCCCAUAAGCCACACCUCCUUUAAGCCCCGCCCCUUCCCAUAAGCCCCGCCCUCUUAAAGGGAUACACACCCCCAAUUAAACCCCGUUCUAAUCUCUUAAAGAGACAGGCCCCCAUUUAAAGCGAAGCCCCCUCCCCAUUAAUUCUCCUUUUCCCCCCCAUAGACUUUUAAUUGCUGGGACCUCCCCCAGCGGCGCCGAUGUUGUGUGGGGCCGCUGUUGGCACUGAAGCCUUUGGAGGGGGACGAGGUGAAGGGCCACUUCCUGUCCCUGGCCUGUCACCGUAAUGGCAGCCGCGUGGUGGACGCCAUCUUGGAUUCCAGCCCCGCCCCCAUUCGAGCCUCCAUCGCCUCCGAGCUGGGUAAGAAACCCCAAAACA
rnacentral:lncRNA from 1 species